rnacentral:lncRNA from 1 species
GACAACGGCUACAUCGUCACGUAGCAAAUCUUUAUACCAUAUAAUUUUUAGUUGGAUCAAAUCCACCGAAUUGAUAGAUUAAAUAAAAUUAUAAAAUAAUAUAUAUAAAUAUCUAUAUUUAUUCUAUAUAUAUUUUUUAUCAAUCAUUAUAUAUAUUAUUUUGUAGUUAGACUGAUCUACUAACCGAAUGAUAAAUCUGAUCCGACUAAUAAUCACAUCUAUCUACCAUCAUUUCAUCUCACCCCAGCC